UACGUAGGGUGCGAGCGUUAAUCGGAAUUACUGGGCGUAAAGGGCGCGCAGGCGGCUAUCCAAGUCAGGCGUGAAAGCCCCGGGCUUAACCUGGGAGGUGCGUCUGGGACUGGGUGGCUAGAGUUCGGGAGAGGAGAGUGGAAUUCCCAGUGUAGAGGUGAAAUUCGUAGAUAUUGGGAAGAACACCGGUGGCGAAGGCGGCAUCCUGGACCGAUACUGACGCUGAGGAGCGAAAGCCAGGGGAGCAAACGGG
rnacentral:rRNA from 1 species